rnacentral:rRNA from 1 species
GACGAACGCUGGCGGCGUGCUUAACACAUGCAAGUCGAGCGGUAAGGCCCUUUCGGGGGUACACGAGCGGCGAACGGGUGAGUAACACGUGGGUGACCUGCCCUCAGCUCUGGGAUAAGCCUGGGAAACCGGGUCUAAUACCGGAUAUGACUCCAUGACGCAUGUUGUGGGGUGGAAAGCCUUGUGCGGCUGAGGAUGGGCCCGCGGCCUAUCAGCUUGUUGGUGGGGUGANGGCCUACCAAGGCGACGACGGGUAGCCGGCCUGAGAGGGCGACCGGCCACACUGGGACUGAGACACGGCCCAGACUCCUACGGGAGGCAGCAGUGGGGAAUCUUGCGCAAUGGGCGAAAGCCUGACGCAGCGACGCCGCGUGAGGGAUGACGGCCUGGUGUAACUC